CAGCCGCCGCGGUAAUACGUAGGGGGCAAGCGUUAUCCGGAUUUACUGGGUGUAAAGGGAGCGCAGACGGCAGUGCAAGUCUGAAGUGAAAGGCGUGGGCUCAACCCAUGAACUGCUUUGGAAACUGUAUAGCUUGAGUGUCGGAGGGGUAAGCGGAAUUCCUAGUGUAGCGGUGAAAUGCGUAGAUAUUAGGAGGAACACCGGAGGCGAAGGCGGCUUACUGGACGACAACUGACGUUGAGGCUCGAAGGCGUGGGGAGCAAACAGGAUUAGAUACCCCUGUAGUCCCUGUCUUUAUACA
rnacentral:rRNA from 1 species